rnacentral:lncRNA from 10 species
GGAGUUAAUAAUAAGCAUGGCUAUGACUGGGAUGAGACUGAAAGGCCACCCCUGCUUUCCUGAGAUCCACCUCCAAACCAGCAGUGUGUACAGAUGGGUGCUGAGAUUCAAGUGAAUGUGCUCAUGAACAUGUGGAUGUUGGGUGUUAAAGCAUUUCUACAUACAUUGACUUUCUGGAGAUGACAGUGGCAUCACAUUUUAAGCAACCCACAAAGCUGGACAUCAGUUGAAAGUGAAAAUCAUCUCCUAAAUACCAGUGACAAACACCUUAAUUCUCUCUCCAUCUUAGAAUUGUAGUGCACGCAGUGUUUUUUUUUUUUAAAAUAAAUAAUUGCUUUGGGGUCUAUUAAGAGUUGGAGGUCAGCAAACCUGCUUUCUGUGAUUCAUAUGCUUUGAGGGUAUCUUAAAGCAGACUUGACACAAGCAUCCUACAAGUCUGACAAUACACAGUGCCUGGAUACUUGCCAUGUAAAGAUCCCUCAUUGCUAUUGCUCCAUUUGAGAAAGGUCUUAGAUAAGUGAUUAGGAUAUGUGCCAUGCAUCCAUCAAGGUCACAAGCAAUGUUUGGGAUUUAAAUUGCUGCAUUAAUAGUUCAUUGAUGCCAUUUAGGAUACUAUCUAAAAUUCAUGUAGUCCUCUAGCAAUACCAAAUGAGACAUUUUAGAUGGCCUUCCAAAUGAUACUACUCAACAAAACAGCAUAUCUAUGUCUUGUGGAAAUUCAAAGACACUUCUAAUACAAAAGCUGUCCACAGUGUGCAGGUAAAAGACAGAGAACACAGGAAACAGUGCUGCAGAUCAGAUUCCGUGGAGCAUUCUUGGAGGUUACUGAUCUUCUCUGAAGGCUCUGGAUGAAACUGACUUUCUUCUAUGGAAGUGAGUCUGAGCUGCAAAAUUCAGGGUUGUUUCUUCAAGGGACGCAGUCAAGGCUGUCUCAAGGGUGGCCUAUUUGAGGCCACAUAUUGAAGAGAACUUGUGUGACUGCUAGCACCUAGAAACUACAGAGCUCUCUUAAAAUGUUAAGGAGGUUGGGAGGCCGAGGUGGGCGGAUCACGAGGUCAGGAGAUCGAGACCAUCCUGGCUAACACAGUGAAACCUCGUCUCUACUAAAAAUACAAAAGAAAUUAGCCGAGCGUGGUGGUGGGAGCCUGUAGUCCCAGCUACUCAGGAGGCUGAGGCAGGAGAAUGGCAUGAACCUGGGAGGCGGAGCUUGCAGUGAGCUGAGAUUGCACCACUGCACUCCAGCCUGGGUGACAGAACGAGACUCCAUCUCAAAAAAAAAAAAAAAAA